CCAGUGGCGGACGGGUGAGUAACACGUGAGCAUCUACCUUCCGGACGGGGACAACAGCUGGAAACGGCUGCUAAUCCCCGAUGAGCCGAGAGGUAAAAGGCGUAAGCGCCGGAAGAAGAGCUCGCGGCCGAUUAGCUAGUUGGUAGGGUAAGGGCCUACCAAGGCGACGAUCGGUAGCCGGUCUGAGAGGAUGGUCGGCCACACUGGCACUGAGACACGGGCCAGACUCCUACGGGAGGCAGCAGUGGGGAAUCUUCCGCAAUGGGCGCAAGCCUGACGGAGCUACACCGCGUGAGGGAAGACGGCCUUUGGGCUGUAAACCUCUUUUCUCAGGGAAGAAGUUCUGACGGUACCUGAGGAAUCAGCCUCGGCUAACUCCGUGCCAGCAGCCGCGGUAAUACGGAGGAGGCAAGCGUUAUCCGGAAUUAUUGGGCGUAAAGCGUCCGCAGGGGGCUUUCCAAGUCUGCUGUCAAAGCCUGGGGCUCAACCCCAGCGGGGCAGUGGAAACUGGAAGGCUAGAGGACGGCAGGGGUAGAGGGAAUUCCCAGUGUAGCGGUGAAAUGCGUAGAGAUUGGGAAGAACACCGGUGGCGAAAGCGCUCUACUGGGCCGUCACUGACCCUGAGGGACGAAAGCUAGGGGAGCGAAAGGGAUUAGAUACCCCUGUAGUCCUAGCUGUAAACGAUGGAUACUAGGCGUGGUUCGACUCGACCCGAGCCGUGCCGAAGCUAACGCGUUAAGUAUCCCGCCUGGGGAGUACGCGCGCAAGGUUGAAACUCAAAGGAAUUGACGGGGGCCCGCACAAGCGGUGGAGCAUGUGGCUUAAUUCGAUGCAACGCGAAGAACCUUACCUAGGCUCGAACGCUAGGCGACCGCUCCUGAAAGGGAGCUUUCCGCAAGGACGCCUAGCGAGGUACUGCAUGGCUGUCGUCAGCUCGUGUCGUGAGAUGUUGGGUUAAGUCCCGCAACGAGCGCAACCCCUAUCGCUAGUUACCAUCGGGUAAUGCCGGGGACUCUAGUGAGACUGCCUGCGCAAGCAGUGAGGAAGGUGGGGAUGACGUCAAGUCAUCAUGGUCCUUACGCCUAGGGCUGCACACGUGCUACAAUGGCCGGUACAACGGGCAGCUACCCUGCGAAGGGAAGCGAAUCCCUGAAAACCGGUCCCAGUUCGGAUUGGAGU
rnacentral:rRNA from 1 species